rnacentral:snRNA from 1 species
GUGCUCGCUUCAGCAGCAUAUAUACUAAAAUUGGAAUGAUACAGAGAAGAUUAGUAUGGCCCCUGCACAAGGAUGACAUGCAAAUUUAUGAAGUGUUCCAUAUUUUU